rnacentral:misc_RNA from 1 species
UCGUAACAAGGUCUCCGUUGGUGAACCAGCGGAGGGAUCAUUACCGAGUUUACAACUCCCAAACCCCUGUGAACAUACCUAUACGUUGCCUCGGCGGAUCAGCCCGCGCCCCGUAAAACGGGACGGCCCGCCCGAGGACCCCUAAACUCUGUUUUUAGUGGAACUUCUGAGUAAAACAAACAAAUAAAUCAAAACUUUCAACAACGGAUCUCUUGGUUCUGGCAUCGAUGAAGAACGCAGCAAAAUGCGAUAAGUAAUGUGAAUUGCAGAAUUCAGUGAAUCAUCGAAUCUUUGAACGCACAUUGCGCCCGCCAGUAUUCUGGCGGGCAUGCCUGUUCGAGCGUCAUUUCAACCCUCAAGCUCAGCUUGGUGUUGGGACUCGCGGUAACCCGCGUUCCCCAAAUCGAUUGGCGGUCACGUCGAGCUUCCAUAGCGUAGUAAUCAUACACCUCGUUACUGGUAAUCGUCGCGGCCACGCCGUAAAACCCCAACUUCUGAAUGUUGACCUCGGAUCAGGUAGGAAUACCCGCUGAACCUAAGCAUAUCA